UACGGGGGGGGCAAGCGUUGUUCGGAAUUACUGGGCGUAAAGCGCGCGUAGGCGGCUUUUCAAGUCGAUUGUGAAAUCCCCGGGCUUAACCUGGGAACUGCAGUCGAGACUGUCUAGCUAGAGUAUGGGAGAGGGAAGUGGAAUUUCAGGUGUAGCGGUGAAAUGCGUAGAUAUCUGAAGGAACAUCAGUGGCGAAAGCGACUUCCUGGACCAAUACUGACGCUCAUGUGCGAAAGCGUAGGGAGCAAACAGG
rnacentral:rRNA from 1 species